GCCAAGGGGGAGCCUAAUACGCAUGCGCACAUUAGGCCUUCCCCAUAGGGAAACAUUGAUGCAAAGCAUGAGGACAUCCACCAUCAUUUCAAGGAGGCAAACUCCAUGACACAGCAAGAAGCACCUCUAUUGGCUGUCUGGUAGACUGCCACUAGAGGCAGCGUUAACCCUGCAAUGUAGACAUAGCAGAGCUAAGGGGACAGUGACACUGCACCCAGACCACUUUAAUGAGAUGAAACGGUCUGGGUGCCUAUAGUAUCCCUUUAACUAAACAGUAUACAAUGUUAAAACUGCUUCCUCUAAACAGCUUUUAACAGUAUAAUGUUGUGGGAACAGUCCAGUAUAAACCCAAAAUAGCCACCAACAGCAGAUGCCAAGGAUAAUCAGUCUUCGUGGUUCUUUGGCUCAGAUCUGUCAAUGCCAGAAAAAAAAGGAUUGUGCUUAUCAAAACAAAA